rnacentral:lncRNA from 7 species
GGAAUUGGGGAUGCGGCUAGGUGGCUGGGCGCUUGGCGGCUAGGGCUAGCGGCGGCUAGGUUUUGUUUUUUUCUUUUUUAUUUCCUUUUCUAAAUUUGAAAUACAUUUUUAAAGAAUCCUAAAAUUCAUAGUAAUUAAACCAAAAUUAUUUAUAAAUACAAUAUUAAUUUUUGCGAUAAUAAUUAUUAUAUUUUUUUAUUUACUAGGAUUUUCAUUUAAGAAGAAAUGUUAUUCAAUAACCAAAAAUCAAUCAUGCACAAUAAAAUGCAAAUACAUAACAAACACUUAAAAGAAAAUUCAUUACCAUAAAUAUCAUUAAUAACUAAAUGCAUUAUUUUUAUUUUAUGAUAUUUAUAGUGUUAUAGUUUCCUUUUCCAUAAUUCUUUUUUUCUUUUCUACAAUUUUUUUUUCUUUACUACAAUUUAGCGAUCAAUGUUUACUUAUUUUAAUUAAUUUUUAGUCACUAACAUCUACAGGUACGUUCAGGCUAUAAGAUUUGAUAGUGAUCCUUGCUCUAUAGCGACCCACCGUUAGUCCCCGACGACAUCUACAGCGACCAACCAUAAGUUGUUAAAUUUCUAGACUUUUAGCGACCAACCGACCGUUGCUACAAAAGGAUUUAGCGACUGACCGUCGGUCCCUAACCUUUAGCAACCAACAGUUGGUACCUAAUAAGGGUCGCUAAAGACCAACCGUCGUGUAGUGUUUGGAAUGCUGCAACUGUAAUACAUAGCGACAAAACAUACACUAUAUAAGUAUUAGAAGCUGAUACAGAUUAAAACUAAGUGAAAGAACAGGCUGUUAAAUUCUCUCGGGUUUGUAGGGGAUUUGGGAUAAAAUGAACAAAUUUUCCCUUUAAUCCUCUUCAAUCCCCCUUAUGCGAUUUGGAUUUCACCUUACGAUACGUGGAUCAGAAAUUCAGUCUUUCAGAUCGUAGUCCCACGCGUGGUCUACCGUAGCCCACUAGUACAGAUAAGCUCUAUACUGACGGUUCUAAACAUAUUUACAGUGACGUUUUUCGUAACCGCCAGUGCUAGAGGUCAGUAGAAAUCACCAUUUUUACAGGCGGGUAACUGAAGACCGCCAGUGAAAAUCGAUUUUCACUGGCGGUCGACGUAAUAAAACCGCCAGUGAAAAUCGAUUUUCACUGGCGGUCGACGUAAUAAAACCGCCAGUGCAAAUCGUUUCCAGAAAACAUAAAACAGAUUUUAAAAAU